rnacentral:rRNA from 1 species
AGCUAGAGUUUGAUCCUGGCUCAGGACGAACGCUGGCGGCGUGCCUAACACAUGCAAGUCGAGCGGGGACAUACGACGGACAGGAAGUUUUCGGAUGGAAUGGAAGAUGUAUGUUCUAGCGGCGGACGGGUGAGUAACGCGUGAGCAACCUGUCCCUUACAGGGGGAUAACACAGCGAAAGCUGUACUAAUACCGCAUAAGACCACAGAGAGACAUCUCACAGGGGUCAAAGGAGCAAUCCGGUAAGGGGUGGGCUCGCGUCCGAUUAGAUAGUUGGUGAGGUAACGGCCCACCAAGUCAACGAUCGGUAGCCGACCUGAGAGGGUGAUCGGCCACAUUGGGACUGAGACACGGCCCAAACUCCUACGGGAGGCAGCAGUGGGGAAUAUUGGGCAAUGGGGGGAACCCUGACCCAGCAACGCCGCGUGAGGGAAGAAGGUUUUCGGAUCGUAAACCUCUGUCCUUGGUGAAGAGGAAGAGACGGUAGCCAAGGAGGAAGCCCCGGCUAACUACGUGCC